rnacentral:rRNA from 1 species
CCCAAACCCCUGUGAACAUACCAAUUGUUGCCUCGGCGGAUCAGCCCGCUCCCGGUAAAACGGGACGGCCCGCCAGAGGACCCCUAAACUCUGUUUCUAUAUGUAACUUCUGAGUAAAACCAUAAAUAAAUCAAAACUUUCAACAACGGAUCUCUUGGUUCUGGCAUCGAUGAAGAACGCAGCAAAAUGCGAUAAGUAAUGUGAAUUGCAGAAUUCAGUGAAUCAUCGAAUCUUUGAACGCACAUUGCGCCCGCCAGUAUUCUGGCGGGCAUGCCUGUUCGAGCGUCAUUUCAACCCUCAAGCCCCCGGGUUUGGUGUUGGGGAUCGGCGAGCCCUUGCGGCAAGCCGGCCCCGAAAUCUAGUGGCGGUCUCGCUGCAGCUUCCAUUGCGUAGUAGUAAAACCCUCGCAACUGGUACGCGGCGCGGCCAAGCCGUUAAACCCCCAACUUCUGAAUGUUGACCUCGGAUCAGGUAGGAAUACCCGCUGAACUUAAGCAUAUCAAUAAGCGGAGGA